GACGAACGCUGGCGGCGUGCUUAACGCAUGCAAGUCGAACGGAAAGGCCUGCUUUCCCUUGUGGUUUGCGGGUACUCGAGUGGCGAAUGGGUGAGUAACACGUGAGUGAUCUUCCCCCAACUUGGGUAUAAGCCUGGGAAACUGGGUCUAAUUCCCGAUAGGACUGCAGGGUGGUGCCUGUUGUGGAAAACGAUUUUCUAGUGGUUGGGGAUGAGCUCGCGGCCUAUCAGCUUGUUGGUGGGGUAAUGGCCUACCAAGGCGGCGACGGGUAGCCGGCCUGAGAGGGUGGACGGCGACAUUGGGACUGAGAUAAGGCCCAGACUCCUACGGGAGGAAGCAGUGGGGAAUAUGGCAGAAUGGGCGGAAGGCUGAUGCAGCGACGCCGCGUGGGGGAUGACGGCGUUCGGGUUGUAAACUCCUGGCGACCGCGAGGAAGCCACCUGGUUGGAAGGGUGGUGACGGUAGUGGUAGAAGAAGCACCGGCUAACUACGUG
rnacentral:rRNA from 1 species